UAAUGAUUGCACCCCUUUUGCACAGCUUUUGGAAGAGAUCAGGCAAUGCAAAAGAUUUGACCUUGACCUUACUGCCUGAAUGGCAGUGAUUACAUAUAGAUAUUGCUUGUUCCAAGAAUCAUGCAAAAUAGACUGUAUUCUGUCUCACUGUUCAGUAGCUGUUCGGGGAUAAUUUAUUCUUGAGAUGACAGAAUGCAGUUUACAAAUUGUAUCCUAUAUACCUAAUGAGACAAUUAUUUCAGGAGUCUGAGCUAUCCUGCAAAAUAGACACAGACCAAAUGCAAAGCCUGUGCUGGAAAGGAUGAGCAUGUUUGUUUAACCUGAUAGGGUCCUGGUUAGGCUGUUAUUUGCCUGCGUGUAACUUCCACUGGUGGAAAAUGAGGUCUCACAAAUUUGCCCCAAAAAAUGAUUCAAGCAAGUUUUCCCAAGGCUGUCUACAAAAUAUUUGGACUUUCAGAAGAUGUUGCUCUUCUCUGGAUAUAAAGUUUGAAAGUAAGGGUGAGUAAACUGAAAAUGGGUGGGGGGAGAAGGACAGAUCGUUCUUUCGAGUAGCAAAGCGAGAGUGCUGUCUCCCAAAGAAAGGAGACAGCCAAGAGCUGAAAUUCAAGUUGUAAGCAGAAAUGGCUUCCAGAGCAGUGUAAUAAAGUGCAUAUAUUUAACUCAUUAUUUUUAGUUUAGAAAUGUUUGUUGACAGGAGUGACAAAUAUAAUGGGCAUAUGAGACUGAGGAGCAGGAAUGAAACAUUCUGUCUCCACUUGAAAUAGUCUCCUUGCAAUCCAAACAAACACACACACCUGCAAAUUCCUCACAAGUCAUCCAGCUGAAGCUCAGAAGAUGACUCAUGUCAUGCUUGACUGGAACACUUGCUAAGGUAGGCCUGUGUGGACUCGGCGUUUCGUGUCGUGGGAUGUUUAAUAGCUGGGAGUAGCGAUGUUGCAAUGCAGCAAUUUUAAGCAAAGACUUUCUUCAUUCCAAGCAACUGAAAAAGAUCUACCAGCAGAGUUAUUUAAAAAACAAAGAAAAAGGCAUAAAUACAGCUCAACAUGAGCUGGAGAGGAGGGAGAAUCUAAACAUCACUGCAGGUCUGGAUGUGAUGUAUACUGGAUCAGCUGAUGUUCUCAGGGUCUCCUCAGUAAUGCCAUGGAUGGGGCAGCCCUUAAUUAGGAAAUGUUCCUGGAUGAGAUCAGUGCUGGCUUUGACCAUAAAACACAGGUAUUAUACAUUAAUAAUAUCAAACAACAUGUAUUAGUCUUUAAACAGCAGCUUCUGAGAUGUGUCUAGGUGACAUUUUUGCAUGGAAGUGGGUCUGGAGAAGAAACCACGAUACCAUAUGAUACUAUAAGUGGCUAUUGGGUGCAGAACCCAGUGCAUGUGAAAAUAUAUAGGUCAAAAACAUAGCAGUAAAAAAUAAGAAGGGACUCACAGCUCUAUAUCUUUGCCCUUUUUUUGCUGUAACUCAAUAUAACUCAGUUUCAAAGGAUAGUAAUAGUGUGUAAUUACUCUUUAAAAUGAUAUCUAUUUUUAGUAGGUUUGAAUUAUUGGGAAUACCAGAAGGGUUUGAGGACACGUUGUUCAGUGAGCAGGGCACGUCAGUGCUGUGUGUCUGGGUAAGAGCAGGGUGCAAGGUGCCUUUGCUAUCACUGUGCAAGAUGCCGAGCUGAGCCAGGAGAGAUGGGCACAGAGCAAGAGCCAACAUCAGUAUGUCACUGAUGUUGGCCAUGAAACCCUGACCGUCAUGGGUUCUGGUCCUCUGACUAACAGUUCUGCCUGGCUGGCCAGUAGUCAUGAAGUACUUAUGUGAAGUGUCAGUGUUGAAUAGAGUGUUGAAACUGUGUUUCACAUGAAAAGAAAAGUAUUUAAAUCAAUAAUAAUUUUUGCAUUGACUCAAUGAAGACUAGGAUAUUACCAUGUUUUUUAUCAGAAUGACGCUAAGUAGACCAGGACAUAGCCAUUACUUUCUCAAAUAAUGUCCUUGGAUUUCUUUGGUGUUUUAAUGUUCAUUAAAGAAAGAGAGGAAGGAAGAUGGUUGUCUGUAGUGCUUUUUUUUUUGCUAGAAAUGAGCUUAAACCUAGAAUGAAGUUUGGAAUUGGUGCUCCCCUUAGUCCUUCUUUUUCUUUGGAAGCAUACAGUAGAGUAGAAAAUAGUUUUGCCUGUGCUUUUCUGAUGUUUAAUUUUGGUCCCAUAGGAACAAGUUCUUUGCAAAUAUCUUAAGGAGAUGCUCUGUGCUGUGAGUAGAAAUCCAGAGAGACCUGGCCAGGCUUGAGAGGUGGGCCUGUGUGAACCUCAUGAAGUUCAACUAGUCCAAGGUCCUGCAUCUGUGUGCAAUCCCAAUCAGGGCAAUCCCAAGCACAAACACAGGCUGGGAAGAGUGUGAUGAGAGCAGCCCUGAAGAGAAGGACUUAGGGAUGUUGGUCAAUAAGAAGCUCAUCAUGAUGCACACUUGCAGCCUGGAAAGCCAAUCAUGUCCCCGGCUGCAUCAAAUCAGUGUGACCAGCAGGACAAGAGAAGGAAUUCUGCCCCUCUACUCCACUCUGGCUGCAGCUGGGAGAACAGGAGGUGCAGCUGAACUCAGAGCAUCUUUCCAUGCCUAGCUGAUAAGAAAGUGGUUUGCUUGAGGCAAGAGAUCUCAGCGAAUGAGCAGAAAUCAACAACACCUUCUCCAGAUGACAGUGAGCACGAAGUGUGUAAGGUUUCAUGAAAACCUCCUAUCCCAAUCACUCAUCUUCCCCAUACUUUGAGAUCUAACUCAGGAGCUGUGGAAGGAGCUGCAUUGUCUCCAUCAGCUUUGAGGAAAACACCUCCACAGAUGAAAACACCUAAUAUAGGUUUCCUAAUACAGGGAAAAAACCUAAUAUAAAUCUUGAGCAGUCACCAUCAAUCUGUGUCUAUUCACCAUUAUCCAAUUUUUUCCCUGAAAGCAGCUCUGCAGAGCCUGGCUAACAGUACCCAGCAUGACAGACUUGGCCAGAGAAGAUGCAAAAUCUGAGUUUCCCAUUGACCAGUGCUAGUGUGGCCAGUUAUAGGCUGGUGCAAGCAGUCCUCUAAAGCAGCUGCUAAUGUAGGGAUGAAAAAGUCCUACCAGUGCU